CCUACGGGGGGCUGCAGUGAGGAAUAUUGGUCAAUGGGCUUACGCCUGAACCAGCCAAGCCGCGUGAGGGAAGACUGCCCUAUGGGUUGUAAACCUCUUUUGCCAGGGAGCAACGCCGGCUACGUGUAGCCGGACUGAGAGUACCUGAAGAAAAAGCAUCGGCGAACUCCGUGCCAGCAGCCGCGGUAAUACGGAGGAUGCGAGCGUUAUCCGGAUUGAUUGGGUUUAAAGGGUGCGUAGGCGGAAUGCCAAGUCAGCGGUAAAAUCGCGGGGCUCAACCUCGCUCCGCCGUUGAAACUGGCGUUCUUGAGUGGGCGAGAAGUAUGCGGAAUGCGUGGUGUAGCGGUGAAAUGCAUAGAUAUCACGCAGAACUCCGAUUGCGAAGGCAGCAUACCGGCGCCCAACUGACGCUGAAGCACGAAAGCGUGGGUAUCGAACAGGAUUAGAUACCCCUGUAGUC
rnacentral:rRNA from 1 species